ACGAACGCUGGCGGCGUGCUUAACACAUGCCAGUCGAACGGAAAGGCCCUGCUUUUGUGGGGUGCUCGAGUGGCGAACGGGUGAGUAACACGUGAGUCACCUGCCCUUGACUUUGGGAUAACUUCAGGAAACUGGGGCUAAUACCGGAUAGGAGCUCCUGCUGCAUGGUGGGGGUUGGAAAGUUUCGGCGGUUGGGGAUGGACUCGCGGCUUAUCAGCUUGUUGGUGGGGUAGUGGCUUACCAAGGCUUUGACGGGUAGCCGGCCUGAGAGGGUGACCGGCCACAUUGGGACUGAGAUACGGCCCAGACUCCUACGGGAGGCAGCAGUGGGGAAUAUUGCACAAUGGGCGGAAGCCUGAUGCAGCAACGCCGCGUGCGGGAUGACGGCCUUCGGGUUGUAAACCGCUUUCGCCUGUGACGAAGCGUGAGUGACGGUAAUGGGUAAAGAAGCACCGGCUAACUACGUG
rnacentral:rRNA from 1 species